GUCCAAGCACCUAGGCAGAGAAUAGCCAAUUCAAAAGCAACAUAAAAUAAGGCAAAGAAAAGUGUUUCCCAGGCAGAUGGAUAUGGGGAGGCUGACCACCACCCCCCACCAACUUAAGGAUUGCAUCAUGCAGGUUCCUCUCCUGUCUGGCUUGCAGUUAAGCCAAUGAGUGCUACCAACAGAUUAGAGAAUGAGAGGAGAAAAAGCAAAGUGGGGCAGUGGGUAAAAAUAAAACUACAUAAAGAUUCUAAACGCUGUCUUCUGCCCAAGCUGAAGAGGAAACGGAAACUAGUGUUUUUCAGCAACCCCUUCCAAACACUUCUUACAAAGACAUAUUGGAAGAUGAAAUGAGGAGUGAAGACUUCAUAUAUAUUUCGGUUAGACAUGCUGUCCCACAUUAAUAUAAAUAAUCAAAAGUUAGCUGCACUUACAAAAGCUAUUUUCUAUAGAUAUCAUGAAUACUAAUUAGGAAAUUCACCCCAAAUAUACAUCUUCAAAAAUAAUUCUGGACACCAUGUUAAGAAGGAAUCCUAGUGAACUAACCAAAGCAUGAAAUACCCAUAACCAAUCUUGUGUGAUAAUCUACCAUGAAAUUUCAAUGGAAUUACUGAAAAUAAAAAAUAAAGAUGUCAAUGUAGCACCACAGCAUGAAGCAGCACAUGUAAGCAUUAGCAAAAAAAAAAAAGAGAGAGAGAGAGAGAGAGAGAAAGAUGCAUUCAUUCAAUUGAGUUACUGCCACUCUACAACUGAAUGAAACAGAGCGAAAGAUGAAUGCCCAAAACAAUCCACCACAUUAAGUGAAAUGGAAUGAGAAGCACUUUAAUUGGAUAAAAUUUAAGAGCUAAAUUACAAAUGCCACAUAAAUAAAUAGCUCUAAAUAAUGUGUUUUUCCAGUUAAAUAAU